GAAAUGCGAUAAUUAAUGUGAAUUGCAGAAUUCAGUGAAUCAUCGAGUCUUUGAACGCACAUUGCGCCCCCUGGUAUUCCGGGGGGCAUGCCUGUCCGAGCGUCAUUGCUGCCCUCAAGCACGGCUUGUGUGUUGGGCUUCCGUCCCUGGCAACGGGGACGGGCCCAAAAGGCAGUGGCGGCACCAUGUCUGGUCCUCGAGCGUAUGGGGCUUUGUCACCCGCUCCCGUAGGUCCAGCUGGCAGCUAGCCUCGCAACCAAUCUUUUUAACCAGGUUGACCUCGGAUCAGGUAGGUAUACCCGCUGAACUUAAGC
rnacentral:misc_RNA from 1 species